UACGUAGGGUGCGAGCGUUGUCCGGAAUUAUUGGGCGUAAAGAGCUCGUAGGCGGUGUGUCACGUCGGCCGUGAAAACCUGCAGCUUAACUGUGGGCGUGCGGUCGAUACGGGCAUCACUGGAGUUCGGCAGGGGAGACUGGAAUUCCUGGUGUAGCGGUGAAAUGCGCAGAUAUCGGGAGGAACACCAGUGGCGAAGGCGGCACUCUGGGCCGGAACUGACGCUGAGGAGCGAAAGCGUGGGGAGCGAACAGG
rnacentral:rRNA from 1 species